rnacentral:misc_RNA from 1 species
GACGAUCUCCGCAAACUGCUGGAAAUCUUGAGAAGACUGAUGCUGACUUGCAUUGACACGUUUCAAGUUCUCCUGCGUCGAAAAAUUUAAGUUUUCAUGGAUUAUAGACCAUUUAUCUAUGGAGGGUUGGCCUCCAUGACUGCUGAAUUUGGAACAUUUCCUAUUGACACAACAAAAACACGGCUACAGCUUCAGGGUCAAGUGAUAGAUGCUAAACAGAAAGAGAUUAGAUAUAGAGGAAUGCUCCAUGCUUUUGUUAGAAUUUCCAGAGAAGAUGGGGUCAAGGCAUUGUAUAAUGGGGUAGCACCAGCACUUUUGCGUCAAGCAACCUAUGGAUCUCUAAAAUUAGGCUUUUACCAUGCUCUGAAGAGGAGGCUGGUAAAAAACCCAAAAGACGAAACUUUAUUUUACAAUGUAAUGGCAGGGGUUGUUGCUGGAGCAUUCUCAUCAGCUAUUUGUAAUCCUACUGAUCUUUUAAAGAUUCGUAUGCAGGCAGAGUAUCAAUCAGGGGUUAAUGUCAGAAGAAAAGGAAUGCUUCGAUCUUUUGCUUCAAUAUUUAAAGAAGAGGGAAUCAGGGGACUCUAUCGGGGAGUUGGUCCCACAGCUCAAAGAGCAGCAGUUAUUUCAGGAGUUGAACUUCCAGUCUAUGAUUGGUGUAAAAAGAAAAUUUUGGAUCUUAAGAUUAUGGGUGACAACCCUUACACUCAUUUUUGUGCAAGUGGAGUUGCUGGACUAGCAGACGAGAAUGAUGAAUCAAAGGAAUCUGAAGGUAAACACUGGAAGUGUAACUGUCAUUUACACAAGUGCUGCCCACUGUUUGCUCACUACUUUGAAGUCUGAAGGUUUUUUUGCCCUCUAUCGUGGGUUUGUACCUCAGUUUCUGAGACUAUUUCCAUGGAAUGUUAUUUUCUUUAUGUCGUAUGAGCAGUACAAGAAGUAUGGAGAUGAAGUAUUAUCAUAAUAGCAAGUUAAUGGUUUGCUCUAGUUUUACAUAAAUGCUGACAUCUAGUGAGGUCGUGUGGAGCAUUUCUACAACUUAAAAAGCAACCUAAAUUUCAUGCUGUUGUUUAUCAUCAUCAGAUAGUAGUGGAGAUGCAAUAGCAAACAAAGAAAAAAGCCAAAGAGAAUAAAUAAAUGAAAAAAAAAAUUAAUAAUUGUGCAAAUCCACAUAUUAUGACAUUAGAUCAGUUGUGACCUAUGACCAGUAUUGGACUAGUUUCAUGAGUGAUUCAUGACAUGAUUGAUAAGAGCCUUAUGAGAAGAAUCCACACAUAACAGCAAUUGAGAAUAGUAUUAUUUAUUUUUAUUUCCAUGAAAAUAAUCAAAUUAUUUCAUUCAAUUCAAAAAUUGUUCUCAUUCAAUUAUGCCUGGUGAUUUAUGCCAGAAAGCUUUAGUUCAGAUUGCACUGCACUUCAUAGUGGGAUGUGUUUGGUAUAUGUUGCAACUCCCCUUUCGUUCUAAGCUUAAUAAUAUACAUGAAAAAAUUUCUCAAUUCUGAUUGGUUAAGAUGAAUGCAGUUUUCAUUUAAUUCAGUGCAGG